GGAAUCUUCCACAAUGGACGAAAGUCUGAUGGAGCAACGCCGCGUGAGUGAAGAAGGGUUUCGGCCCGUAAAACUCUGUUGUUAAAGAAGAACAUAUCUGAGAGUAACCGUUCAGGUAUUGACGGUAUUUAACCAGAAAGCCACGGCUAACUACGUGCCAC
rnacentral:rRNA from 1 species